AAACCUGCGAAACUCGAAUGAACGAACGGAGAGAUUCAUCGUCAUUCCGCGGCGUACUAGUUCGCGCCUCGAUGCGCGCCCGCCGCGUCCCCGCAGGGGGGCGCGCGCGGGUCGAGCACGGGUCGGACGUGUCGACGUUCGCGGACGGCGUGCACUUCUCUCUCAGUAAACGCUGACAUCGCGACCCGUUCGCUUCGCGUCGAUCUAAGCCCGAUCCGGGAGACGAACGGCGGCGUCUAAACAGCGCUCGCCGUUCGACCGCGAUCGUCGGCCGAUCGGCGUCGGACGGUACACACGUAUAAGGAAAUCGCGCACGCGACUGCUCGCCAGUACGCGUCAGGCCCGACGCGAGCGUUAAGCGUCGCCGCCCGCGCCUCCUGCCUAUGCGCGGACGCGGGCGCGUCGCCGCUGUUGUCGCGGCCGCCGUGCCGUCACUGACCGUGCGCGUGUCCGUCGGCGAUGUUUCAGUUUCGGGCACUCGCAGGAC
rnacentral:rRNA from 1 species